rnacentral:lncRNA from 1 species
CAGCCUCCUGCUAAUGAGCACCCUGCGUUUUACCUGGGAAACGUGAAAAAUUACAAAGGAAGGUCAGAGAUUAGGGGCGCUGUGAUGCACCUUGCACUGCUGAGCACAUCCCUUUGCCACAUGGGUACCUGCACCACAAGGAAGGAUUCAGCCCCCUCCAGUUACCUGCAGUGUGCUCAGGCUUUUUGUUCACCUACUGCUCCAGGUGCACCUGUAUUAAGUCAUUACCUUUCAGGAAACAGCAUCUACUUCCAAAACAAAAUGAGAAUCGUCUGA